UACGUGAGGGUGCAAGCGUUAAUCGGAAUUACUGGGCGUAAAGCGUGCGCAGGCGGUUUUUGUAAGUUUGUCGUGAAAUCCCCGGGCUCAACCUGGGAAUGGCGAUGAAGACUGCAAGGCUAGAAUCUGGCAGAGGGGGGUAGAAUUCCACGUGUAGCAGUGAAAUGCGUAGAGAUGUGGAGGAACACCGAUGGCGAAGGCAGCCCCCUGGGUCAAGAUUGACGCUCAUGCACGAAAGGCGUGG
rnacentral:rRNA from 1 species